ACGAACGCUGGCGGCGUGCUUAACACAUGCAAGUCGAACGGUGAACCCUUCGGGGGGAUCAGUGGCGAACGGGUGAGUAACACGUGAGCAACCUGCCCUUGGCUCUGGGACAACCACUGGAAACGGUGGCUAAUACCGGAUACGACCCAUGCAGGCAUCUGUUGUGGGUGGAAAGAUUUUUCGGCCAGGGAUGGGCUCGCGGCCUAUCAGCUUGUUGGUGGGGUGAUGGCCUACCAAGGCGACGACGGGUAGCCGGCCUGAGAGGGCGACCGGCCACACUGGGACUGAGACACGGCCCAGACUCCUACGGGAGGCAGCAGUGGGGAAUAUUGCACAAUGGGCGAAAGCCUGAUGCAGCGACGCCGCGUGAGGGAUGACGGCCUUCGGGUUGUAAACCUCUUUCAGCAGGGAAGAAGCGAAAGUGACGGUACCUGCAGAAGAAGCACCGGCUAACUACGU
rnacentral:rRNA from 1 species